UACGAAGGGUGCAAGCGUUGUUCGGAUUUAUUGGGCGUAAAGCGCGCGCAGGCGGAUCAGCAAGUCAGAUGUGAAAUCUCAGGGCUCAACCCUGAAACUGCGUCUGAAACUGCUAAUCUAGAAUGUCGGAGGGGGCAGGGGAAUUUCACGUGUAGGGGUAAAAUCCGUAGAGAUGUGAAGGAACACCGGAGGCGAAGGCGCCUGCCUGGACGACUAUUGACGCUGAGGCGCGAAAGCUAGGGGAGCAAACAGG
rnacentral:rRNA from 1 species